GGAUAUAGCUCAAUUGGUAGAGUGCUUGCCUAGUAUGCAUAAGGCCCUGGGUUCAAUCCCCAGAACCA
rnacentral:tRNA from 1 species